GUCUACGGCCAAACCACCCUGAAUGUACCCGAUUUUAUCCGAUCUCUGAAGCUGAGCAGGGUGGGGCCUAGUUAGUACUUGGAGACA
rnacentral:rRNA from 1 species